GACAUAGGUGGCGAACGUUAUCCGGAAUUAUUGGGCGUAAAGGGUGCGCAGGUGGCCGUGUGUGUGAGGCGUGAAAGCCCGGGGCUUAACCCCGGAAUUGCACCUCAAACUACAUGGCUAGAGCAUUGGAGAGGGUAGCGGAAUUCACGGUGUAGCAGUGAAAUGCGUAGAUAUCGUGAGGAACACCAGAGGCGAAGGCGGCUACCUGGACAAUUGCUGACACUCAGGCACGAAAGCGUGGGGAGCAAAAGGG
rnacentral:rRNA from 1 species